UGAACGCUGGCGGCAGGCCUAAUACAUGCAAGUCGAACGGCAGCACAGCAGAGCUUGCUCUGUGGGUGGCGAGUGGCGGACGGGUGAGGAAUACAUGGGAAUCUGCCCAGUCGUGGGGGAUAACGUAUGGAAACGUACGCUAAUACCGCAUGCGCCCUUUGGGGGAAAGCCGGGGACCUUCGGGCCUGGCGCGAUUGGAUGAGCCCAUGUUCGAUUAGCUAGUUGGCGGGGUAAAGGCCCACCAAGGCGACGAUCGAUAGCUGGUCUGAGAGGAUGAUCAGCCACACUGGGACUGAGACACGGCCCAGACUCCUACGGGAGGCAGCAGUAGGGAAUAUUGGACAAUGGGCGCAAGCCUGAUCCAGCCAUGCCGCGUGAGUGAAGAAGGCCCUCGGGUUGUAAAGCUCUUUUGUCCGGAAAGAAAAGCAUUCGGUUAAUACCCGGGUGUUCUGACGGUACCGGAAGAAUAAGCACCGGCUAACUUCGUG
rnacentral:rRNA from 1 species